rnacentral:rRNA from 1 species
GACGAACGCUGGCGGCGUGCUUAACACAUGCAAGUCGAACGGAAAGGCCCUGCUUUUGUGGGGUGCUCGAGUGGCGAACGGGUGGGUAACACGUGAGUAACCUGCCCUUGACUUUGGGAUAACUUCAGGAAACUGGGGCUAAUACCGGAUAGGAGCUCCGCUGCAUGGUGGGGGUUGGAAAGUUUCGGCGGUUGGGGAUGGACUCGCGGCUUAUCAGCUUGUUGGUGGGGUAGUGGCUUACCAAGGCUUUGACGGGUAGCCGGCCUGAGAGGGUGACCGGCCACAUUGGGACUGAGAUACGGCCCAGACUCCUACGGGAGGCAGCAGUGGGGAAUAUUGCACAAUGGGCGGAAGCCUGAUGCAGCAACGCCGCGUGCGGGAUGACGGCCUUCGGGUUGUAAACCGCUUUCGCCUGUGACGAAGCGUGAGUGACGGUAAUGGGUAAAGAAGCACCGGCUAACUACGUG